UGGGACAGCUUCAAACUUAAA
rnacentral:piRNA from 1 species